GAUGAACGCUAGCGGCAGGCUUAACACAUGCAAGUCGAGGGGCAGCAUUGGUACUUGUAUCAGGUGGCGACCGGCGCACGGGUGCGUAACGCGUAUAGAACCUACCUUUUACUGGAGAAUAGCCCAGAGAAGUUUGGAUUAAUGCUCCAUAGUAUUAUGAAUUGGCAUCGAUUUAUAACUAAAGAUUUAUUGGUAAGAGAUGGCCAUGCGUUCUAUUAGUUAGUUGGUAAGGUAACGGCUUACCAAGACUUCGAUAGAUAGGGGCCCUGAGAGGGGGAUCCCCCACACUGGUACUGAGACACGGACCAG
rnacentral:rRNA from 1 species